GGGAAAUCUUACCGGGUCCGGACACACUGAGGAUUGACAGGCAAAAUUAUGUUUUUGUAUUUAUACAAAUUCGUAUGCAAAUAUGCUAGUCCUUUCAUGAUUAUGUGAUAGGUGGUGCAUGGCCGUUCUUAGUUCGUGGAGUGAUCUGUCUGCUUAAUUGCGUUUCACCAAGGGUUUAUAAACUACGUAUGUUGCGGCAUUUUGAUCCCGCUUUUUAAGUGUGUGGUCUUUCUGUUUGCGCAUACAAAUAAGCCCUGAAAGCAACGA
rnacentral:rRNA from 6 species